rnacentral:tRNA from 1 species
GCCUUCGUGGUGUAGUGGUCAGCACGCUCGACGCGCAUUCGAGAUAUCCGUGGUUCGAUUCCCGUCGAGGGCA